rnacentral:rRNA from 1 species
GACGAACGCUGGCGGCGUGCUUAACACAUGCAAGUCGAACGGAAAGGCCCUGCUUUUGUGGGGUGCUCGAGUGGCGAACGGGUGAGUAACACGUGAGUAACCUGCCCUUGACUUUGGGAUAACUUCAGGAAACUGGGGCUAAUACCGGAUAGGAGCUCCUGCUGCAUGGUGGGGGUUGGAAAGUUUCGGCGGUUGGGGAUGGACUCGCGGCUUAUCAGCUUGUUGGUGGGGUAGUGGCUUACCAAGGCUUUGGCGGGUAGCCGGCCUGAGAGGGUGACCGGCCACAUUGGGACUGAGAUACGGCCCAGACUCCUUCGGGAGGCAGCAGUGGGGAAUAUUGCACAAUGGGCGGAAGCCUGAUGCAGCAACGCCGCGUGCGGGAUGACGGCCUUCGGGUUGUAAACCGCUUUCGCCUGUGACGAAGCGUGAGUGACGGUAAUGGGUAAAGAAGCACCGGCUAACUACGUG